UGGGGAUAUAUAGAGGUAAGUUGAAGUGUGCCAAUGGUUUCCGUGUGUGUGCUGAGGUGUUUGAAGCAUGCAGAGUUGAGGACUUCUCUUUAAGUAUGAGUGGAGAUAGGGAUUGUUUGGGGAGGAUUGAUGAGAAAUCUAAGCAAAAAAUUUUGGGCUAGCGUUUCUUUUAGACAAUGUGACAAGAGAAUUGAGAGUAAUGGACAUUUGUUGAGUCCCUUUUCUCUCUCUUCAUGUUUUUUAUAUUUAUGAGUAGGAAAG
rnacentral:lncRNA from 1 species